rnacentral:rRNA from 1 species
AGUAACGCGUGGGUAACCUGCCUCAUACAGAGGGAUAACGAUUGGAAACGAUUGCUAAUACCGCAUAAGCGCACAGUACCACAUGGUACAGUGUGAAAAACUCCGGUGGUAUGAGAUGGACCCGCGUCUGAUUAGCUAGUUGGUGAGGUAACGGCCCACCAAGGCAACGAUCAGUAGCCGACCUGAGAGGGUGACCGGCCACAUUGGGACUGAGACACGGCCCAG